GUAUCGUUCGCUUUCACUAUCGCCCAUCAAGUGACGAUGUGACAGCAUAAUUAAGCGCGUCGAACAUAAUCACGCACGGGCCGCAUGCAUUCAGCCUGGAGGCUGGACAAAAAGAUCGGUCGUGACCCCGGCUGAACUGCCGGAUGUAAAGAAAGUACUCAUUGCAAUCUUCCGGCCCGACGCAUGACGGUACGUCCGUCAGUCCGUCAUCGAGUGUCAUAAGUCGAACAUUUUCAUAAGGUAUUAUUGUGAGACUAUAAUACACACAUAAUUACAUAUUGCUUUCGUUUUUGAGAACAUGUAAGAACGAAAUUGUUAAUGCAAUUUCAAAAAGCUAAUUACAAAGUACUUGUUUAAAAGCACAAGUCUAGAUCUAAACAGGUUAGCCUUAUUUGUGUCUAGAAAUAAGUUUAAUUUAAAUUCAAAUAUGCACAUUAAAAAUGCGACUGACACUAAUUUAUGUAAACGUUAGUACAAUGUUGUAUAACAGUGCGAUACUGUUUAUUGGUGUUUUAUGAAACUGUGGUGUCAGCGUGGAGGUGCAUCGUGUUGCGGAGUUGUGGUGGUGAAGCGGUGCGGCGCGCGCGCAGUGGGCGAGGUUAAGCGAUUGCUUAGAUCCGCGUUCACCUCGCAUUGUGUAACCAGGCGGGCGCGGGGAGGGGCGCCGUGGGAACCGCCGAAAGCUCGCUAACGCUAUGCGCAGCUUCCGCCGUUACGGCCGCAUUAACUUAACGAUGCAUCUCACACGCCACCGCGGCACCGCCACCAUACGCAACGCGCUGCACACUCCACGCCAAAUUGAUUCGAUCGUCAUCUUAGCAACAGGAAAUUAUCGCGUUGAUGCUGCGAAACAUUGCCGCCAACAUUUUGCGGCGGCGAUGUUGUUUUCGCGACGACAGCUGAAUAGGGCAAUGGUGGCGGGCCGUUAGUGCGGCGCGGGUGGACAAGGGGCGCGGGGCGCGGGGCGCGGGGUGCCGAGGGCGGAGCACCUGAGCGCGCCCUGACCUACGACCUGCGGUGAAAGGCGCCCGCGCGGGCACGGGCCGCGCCGCGCCGCGCGCCGCUCCGACGACAUAGCAUCGGCCUGUUUCGCAUGCGCUGAAUGACCGGAUUUACGGACAAAAACAAUGACCCAAAACUGUGAUCUUGUUUUUUAUGAUUGAAUUUUUUAAUAAGAUUUUAAUUUUCUUAUACUUACGCGCGUACUCUUGGUGGGCAUGCGGUGUGGUCUUGACAUUAAAGUAAUGUAUGACCUGCAAUGAUUUUGUAAUAUUCGUAUCAUGCUUUCUUUACACAUGUUUUCAUUUUUUAAGUUGUACCAAUAACAAAUAAAGUUUCCAUUUAAUAAAUGUAAUCAUCACGUCUGUUUAUGUUAAUGUGUCGUUAUCAGCGGCAUUUCAUUGUAGCUGACUCGGUAUUAUAAUUUUGGAUUCGACCCACAAGACAUCUGUUAAAAAGAAAUAUUUUCUCAAGAAUCCUUGAGAGUGAGAAAUACGUAAGAGUUUUAUUAAAUACAUAAGUGGAAAUAUAUUUUUAUUGCCAAGCA